rnacentral:rRNA from 1 species
GAUGAACGCUGGCGGCGUGCCUAACACAUGCAAGUCGAACGGAGCUGCUUUGAUGAAGUUUUCGGAUGGAUUUAAAACAGCUUAGUGGCGGGCGGGUGAGUAACGCGUGGGUAACCUGCCUCACACUGGGGGAUAACAGUUAGAAAUAGCUGCUAAUACCGCAUAAGCGCACGGUUCCGCACGGAACAGUGUGAAAAACUCCGGUGGUGUGAGAUGGACCCGCGUCUGAUUAGCCAGUUGGCGGGGUAACGGCCCACCAAAGCGACGAUCAGUAGCCGGCCUGAGAGGGUGAACGGCCACAUUGGGACUGAGACACGGCCCAAACUCCUACGGGAGGCAGCAGUGGGGAAUACUGCACAAUGGGGGAAACCCUGAUGCAGCGACGCCGCGUGAGUGAAGAAGUAUUUCGGUAUGUAAAGCUCUAUCAGCAGGGAAGAAAGUGACGGUACCUGAAUAAGAAGCCCCGGCUAACUACGUGCCAGCCGCCGCUGUAA